rnacentral:rRNA from 1 species
CGAUGGCUCAGGACGACGCUGGCGGCGUGCCUAAUACAUGCAAGUCGAACGGUCUUUCUAUGGAAGCUUGCUUCCACUGAGAAGAUAGUGGCGAACGGGUGAGUAACACGUGGGUAACCUGCCCAUAAGAGGGGGGAUAACAUCCGGAAACGGGUGCUAAUACCGCAUAGUUUUCUUGAUCGCAUGAUCGGGAAAGGAAAGACGGCCUUUGUGCUGUCGCUUAUGGAUGGACCCGCGGCGUAUUAGUUAGUUGGUGAGGUAACGGCUCACCAAGACGAUGAUACGUAGCCGACCUGAGAGGGUGAUCGGCCACGUUGGGACUGAGACACGGCCCAAACUCCCACGGGAGGCAGCAGUAGGGAAUCUUCCGCAAUGGACGAAAGUCUGACGGAGCAACGCCGCGUGAGUGAAGAAGGUUUUUCCGGAUCGUAAAACUCUGUUGUCAGAGAAGAACAAGUUGGAGAGUAACUGCUCCAGCCUUGACGGUAUCUGACCAGAAAGCCACGGCUAACUACGUGCCAGCAGCAGC